rnacentral:rRNA from 1 species
AGAGUUUGAUCAUGGCUCAGAACGAACGCUGGCGGCGUGGAUAAGACAUGCAAGUCGAGCGCUGAUUUCGGGGUAGCAAUAUUCCGGAGUCGGAGCGGCGCAAGGGUGCGUAACACGUGGGUAAUCUGCCAUGAAGUCUGGAAUAACUUGCUGAAAGGCGAGCUAAUACCGGAUGUGACGAUCGGGAGACAUCUCCUGGUUUUUAAAGUUGGGGACCGUAAGGCCUGACGCUUCAUGAUGAACCCGCGGCCUAUCAGCUAGUUGGUGAGGUAACGGCCCACCAAGGCUAAGACGGGUAGCUGGUCUGAGAGGACGACCAGCCACACUGGAACUGAGACACGGUCCAGACACCUACGGGUGGCAGCAGUCGAGAAUUUUUCACAAUGGGCGCAAGCCUGAUGGAGCGACGCCGCGUGGGGGAUGAAUGGCUUCGGCCCGUAAACCCCUGUCAUUCGCGAUCAAACCUUGUUAUUUAAAAGAUGACGAGCUGAUAGUAGCGGAAGAGGAAGGGACGGCUAACUCUGUGCCAGCAGCCGCGGUAAUACAGAGGUCCCGAGCGUUGUUCGGAUUCACUGGGCGUAAAGGGUGCGUAGGUGGUGAGGUAAGUCGGAUGUGAAAUCUCGGAGCUCAACUCCGAAAUGGCAUUGGAAACUACCUUGCUCGAGGAAUGGAGGGGGGACUGGAAUUCUCGGUGUAGCAGUGAAAUGCGUAGAUAUCGAGAGGAACACCAGUGGCGAAGGCGAGUCCCUGGACAUCUCCUGACACUGAGGCACGAAAGCUAGGGGAGCAAACAGGAUUAGAUACCCUAGUAGUCC